GCCAAACAGCUAGCUCAAUUACCCAAUAACUAAACAAUAUAAAUAAAACAAAAUAAGCCUAGCACCAAAAAUUAAAUCAUUCUUUUACCUUAGUAUGGGCGACAGAAAAGGUUACACCUGGAGCAAUAGAAAAAGUACCGCAAGGGAAAGCUGAAAGAGAAAUGAAAUAACUUAUAUAAGCACCAAAAAGCAAAGAUUAAAUCUUGUACCUUUCGCAUCAUGAUUUAGCCAGUAUAUCCAAGCAAAGAGACCUUUAGUUUGAAACCCCGAAACCAAGUGAGCUACCCCGAGACAGCCUAUUAAGGGCCAACCCGUCUCUGUGGCAAAAGAGUGGGAAGAGCUCCGGGUAGAGGUGACAGACCUACCGAACUUGGUGAUAGCUGGUUGCCUAAGAAGUGAAUAGAAGUUCAGCCUCGUACUCCCUGAAUCAAAAGAUAUAAAAAGAUAUUAGAGGGAAAUAUAUGAGAGUUAGUUAAAGGGGGUACAGCCCCUUUAACAAAGGACACAACCUUUCCAGGAGGAUAAAGAUCAUAAUACAUAAGACAUCCUGUUCUAGUGGGCCUAAAGGCAGCCAUCUAAACAGAAAGCGUUAAAGCUCAGACAGAAAUAAGUUUAUUAUUCCGACAAGAAAUCUUACUCCCCUAAAUAUUAUUAGGCCAGCCCAUGCCCACAUGGGAGAGACUAUGCUAAAAUGAGUAACAAGAAGGCCAGCCCUUCUCCAAGCACAAGUGUAAGCCAAACCGGACCGACCAUUGGCAAUUAACGAACUCAACCCGAGAGAGUAAUGUGUAUUACAACGAAACCAGGAAGAACCCACAAUUAACCCAUCGUUACCCCCACACUGGCGUGCUAUUAAAGGAAAGACUAAAAGAAGGGAAAGGAACUCGGCAAACACAAGCCUCGCCUGUUUACCAAAAACAUCGCCUCCUGCAACACAACCAAGUAUAGGAGGUCCAGCCUGCCCAGUGACUACAAGUUCAACGGCCGCGGUAUUUUGACCGUGCAAAGGUAGCGCAAUCACUUGUCUCUUAAAUGGAGACCUGUAUGAAUGGCUAAACGAGGGCUUAACUGUCUCCCCCCUCCAGUCAGUGAAAUUGAUCUACCCGUGCAGAAGCGGG
rnacentral:rRNA from 1 species